AUUGAACGCUGGCGGCAGGCUUAACACAUGCAAGUCGAGCGCCCCGCAAGGGGAGCGGCAGACGGGUGAGUAACGCGUGGGAAUCUACCCAUCUCUACGGAAUAACGCAUGGAAACGUGUGCUAAUACCGUAUACGUCCUUCGGGAGAAAGAUUUAUCGGAGAUGGAUGAGCCCGCGUUGGAUUAGCUAGUUGGUGGGGUAAAGGCCUACCAAGGCGACGAUCCAUAGCUGGUCUGAGAGGAUGAUCAGCCACACUGGGACUGAGACACGGCCCAGACUCCUACGGGAGGCAGCAGUGGGGAAUAUUGGACAAUGGGCGCAAGCCUGAUCCAGCCAUGCCGCAUGAGUGAUGAAGGCCCUAGGGUUGUAAAGCUCUUUCACCGGUGAAGAUAAUGACGGUAACCGGAGAAGAAGCCCCGGCUAACUUCGUGCCAGCAGCCGCCGUAAAAC
rnacentral:rRNA from 1 species